AGUUUGAUCAUGGCUCACAACGAACGCCGGCGGCAUGCCUAGCACAUGCAAGUCGAACGCCAUCCUCUGGAUGGAGUGGCGCACGGGUGAGUAACGCGUGGGAACCUGCCUUUUUCUGCGGGACAACGAUUGGAAACGAUCGCUAAUACCGCAUACGCCCUACGGGGGAAAGGUCCGCCGGAGAGAGAGGGGCCCGCGUUUGAUUAGCUAGUUGGUGGGGUAAUGGCUCACCAAGGCGACGAUCAAUAGCUGGUCUGAGAGGAUGAUCAGCCACACUGGGACUGAGACACGGCCCAGACUCCUACGGGAGGCAGCAGUGGGGAAUAUUGGACAAUGGGGGCAACCCUGAUCCAGCAAUGCCGCGUGUGUGAUGAAGGCCUUAGGGUUGUAAAGCACUUUCACUGGCGAAGAUGAUGACGGUAACCAGAGAAGAAGCCCCGGCUAACUUCGUGCCAGCAGCCGCGGUAAUACGAAGGGGGCGAGCGUUGUUCGGAAUUACUGGGCGUAAAGGGCGUGUAGGCGGCUCUUUAAGUUAGGCGUGAAAGCCCCGGGCUCAACCCGGGAACUGC
rnacentral:rRNA from 1 species